rnacentral:rRNA from 1 species
GAGUUUGAUCCUGGCUCAGAACGAACGCUGGCGGCAGGCUUAACACAUGCAAGUCGAGCGCCCCGCAAGGGGAGCGGCAGACGGGUGAGUAACGCGUGGGAAUCUACCCAUCUCUACGGAAUAACGCAUGGAAACGUGUGCUAAUACCGUAUACGUCCUUCGGGAGAAAGAUUUAUCGGAGAUGGAUGAGCCCGCGUUGGAUUAGCUAGUUGGUGGGGUAAAGGCCUACCAAGGCGACGAUCCAUAGCUGGUCUGAGAGGAUGAUCAGCCACACUGGGACUGAGACACGGCCCAGACUCCUACGGGAGGCAGCAGUGGGGAAUAUUGGACAAUGGGCGCAAGCCUGAUCCAGCCAUGCCGCGUGAGUGAUGAAGGCCCUAGGGUUGUAAAGCUCUUUCACCGGUGAA